CCUGAUGACCAUAGCGAAGUGGUACCACUCCUUCCCAUCCCGAACAGGACCGUGAAACGCUUCAGCGCCGAUGAUAGUGCGGAUCCCCGUGUGAAAGUAGGACAUUGUCAGGC
rnacentral:rRNA from 1 species